rnacentral:rRNA from 1 species
GUGGAUUGUACUAGAAGUCCGUGAGCCAACCUUCGGGAGGCAGCGGCCCAAGGUAUGAUUCACGAUUGGGGUGAAGUCGUAACAAGGUAGCCGUAGGUGAACCUGCAGAAGGAUCA